rnacentral:lncRNA from 1 species
AACUAUAAUUAAUAUUUUUAGAGUAGAAAUUAAUGGCUUUAAAUUUUAUAUAUAGCUUUAAAAAGAUCUCAAUUCCAUUGCAUCUAAAAUAGUCUAAAAUGAAGAUAAAUUGGCUCUAAAAUUACAAAAGUCAUGAAAAAAGAUAAAAAAAAAAUUAUUGAUAUUUUUUGUAAUUCUAGUACAAUGCUAUAUAUUUUAAUUAU